UACGGAGGAUGCGAGCGUUAUCCGGAUUUAUUGGGUUUAAAGGGUGCGUAGGCGGGAUGCCAAGUCAGCGGUAAAAAUGCGGUGCUCAACGCCGUCGAGCCGUUGAAACUGGCGUUCUUGAGUGGGCGAGAAGUAUGCGGAAUGCGUGGUGUAGCGGUGAGAUGCAUAGAUAUCACGCAGAACUCCGAUUGCGAAGGCAGCGCACCGGCGCCCUACCGACGCUCAGGCACGAAAGCGUGGGUAUCGAACAGG
rnacentral:rRNA from 1 species